rnacentral:tRNA from 1 species
GGGGGCGUAGUUGAGUUGGUUACAAUGCCGCCCUGUCACGGCGGAGGUCGAGGGUUCGAGUCCCUUCGCUCCCGCCA